rnacentral:lncRNA from 1 species
GCCAUUUUGGUGCAGUUUUGGUGGCAUUAUUUGGUGCCAUUUCAGUGUCAGCACGGUGCAAUUUUGGUGCCAUUUUGGUGCCAUUUUGGUGCAGUUUUGGGGCCAUUUUGGGUCUAUUUUGGGGCCAUUUUGGUGCCUUUUUGGUGCCAUUAUUUCGUGUCAUUUCAGUGCCAUUUUGGUGCCAUCUUGAUGCUGUCCUGGCCCUGUUUCAGUGCCAUUUUGGUGCAGUUUCGGUGCCAUUUUGGUGGCGUUAUUUGGUGUAAUUUUGGUGCCAUUUUGGUGCCAUUUUGGCUCUGUUCUGGCCCUGUUCCAGUGCCAUUUCUGUGCCAAUUUGGUGCCAUUUUGGUGCCAUUUUGGUGCCAUUUUGGCUCUGUCCUGGCCCUGUUUCGGUGCCAUUUUGGUGCCAUUUUGGUGCCAUUUCAGUGGUGUUAUUUGGUGUAAUUUCAGUGCCAUUUUGGUGCCAUUUUGGCUCCGUUUUGGCCCUGUUUUGGUGCCCUUUUGGUGCCAUUUUGGUGCCAAUUUAGUGCCAUUUUGGUGCCAUUUUGGUGCCAAUUUAGUGCCAUUUUGGUGCCAUUUCGGUGGUGUUAUUCUGUGCAAUUUCGGUGCCGUUUUGGUGCCAUUUUGGUGCUGUUCUGCCACCAUUU